ACUCCUACGGGGGGCAGCAGUGGGGAAUAUUGGACAAUGGGGGCAACCCUGAUCCAGCGAUGCCGCGUGUGUGAAGAAGGCCUGCGGGUUGUAAAGCACUUUAGUUGGGGAGGAGAUAGCGCUUGUGAAUAAUGAGCGCUUGAGACGUUACCCAAAGAAUAAGCACCGGCUAACUCUGUGCCAGCAGCCGCGGUAA
rnacentral:rRNA from 1 species